rnacentral:lncRNA from 1 species
UGGCUGUAGUGGGCCCUGGAAGCCUCUGUAACCCUUCCAAAAUUCUCCUUUGUCUUUUGUGGAGAAGAUGGCCAGAAUGGCCAAAGAUUUACUUACUACCCUUGUGAGGCUAUUUAUCUGAACCAGUGGUGAUUUGCAUUAAAAGGAGCUAGUAGAAAUUCCCCUAAGAGGGCACUCUCUAAAUUAUCUCCCUUCCAUCUUUUUAUAAUUUCUAUCCCCUCAGACUUUACCCAUCAACCAACACUGUGCCACCAUGUGAGGUUGUGACAGCUGGGUGACAGGUCACCGUAGAGAAGUGAAUGCUGAUUGGGAUGCAGGUGUUAUGCUGGCAGAGAUGGAGACAUCACCAAACAACAAAGACAUCCAAGAGCUCUCUUUUAUUGGAAUGUUCCAGACAUUGCAAAUAAGAAGAGUGAAGGAUGACAGAUCAAUUAGCUGAGAGAUAAAAAAUGAGAAGACUGGGGGGACAUUGGUACUGGAAAAUUUCACUUACCUGAGCAGCCAGGAUCCAGGGGAAGCUGACGUUGAAGAGAGGAUAAAUACAAAGUGUUUCCUGGUGCCUUUACUAAUGUGGCAAUAGAAAGAACAAGCUCAAGAAAUUCAAUCAAAGUUGCAGAUAAUAGCAACUUCCCAUUGCUUUAAAAAGUAAUAAUAACCACAACACACUAUGAGAUAAAGCUCCAGGAGAAACAAUAAAGAGAAGAAAUGCACCUUUGAGAGUUGGGGUUCUAAAUGGCAAUAAUCACUUGCCAAAGAUUAUCGUGUGACUAUUAGCCACAACUAUUCCUCAUCCAGCAAGAGCUGAGGAUCAUAAGGCCAUCAGAGAUUCAUCCUGUGUGAAAGGUGAGAUUGCAAUGCUCAAAUGCUUAUGAGGCCUGAGCCCCAUCACUAAGUUGAAAAGCAUUUAUUUUCUUAAAACUGAAUUAUCAAAUGUGGGAAGGGGCAUAAGGGGCUGCCUUAUUAGGAAAAACAUUCAUAAUGCUGGAUUUAGUUAAGUAGUGAACAGUUUUCAAUAUGCUCUGAAAUUAGAAAAACAAAAUGCUAAUUCUGUAAGGAAAUUAACUCAAAACCAGGAACAGCAAAUAUCAUUAUGAUGUUCAAUUGAAUACAUCGGUCAUGAAUGCUAACAUAAUUGAACGGAUGCAGAUAGGCUGCAGAAUUAUACGUUUCUCUCUAACUUUUCAUGGCCUGGUUUAUUAUUUUAUUUGAGUAAAUCAUGGCAAUGUAUGGUCUUCACACAUCCAAAGCCUUCUUGAAGCCAGGGUGUGCCCACUAGCAGGCAAGGCCUGUUGCAGCAUUGAAAU